UACGUAGGUGGCAAGCGUUGUCCGGAUUUAUUGGGUUUAAAGGGUGCGUAGGCGGUCUUCUAAGUCAGUUGUGAAAUACUUCAGCUUAACUGGAGAGGUGCAAUUGAUACUGGAAGACUUGAGUACUGAUGAGGUAGGCGGAAUGGACGGUGUAGCGGUGAAAUGCUUAGAUAUCGUCAAGAACACCGAUAGCGAAGGCAGCUUACUAGACUGUAACUGACGCUGAUGCACGAAAGUGUGGGGAUCAAACAGG
rnacentral:rRNA from 1 species